CCACAUUGUAAAUUCAAGACUCAUCUAUCCAAAGAAAGCGAUCAUACACCAAUCUUUUGGAUCUAUCACCGCCUCCAUGAUGAUCCUACGAUCGGAAGCAGUUUAUGAGUUAACUAAGAUUAAUACAUAUCUCAAAUUCUUAACUCUUGAAAAUAUGUGUUAUCAUACCUAUUAACUCAAUGGACGAUUCACAGACACUAUAAAUGCAAUG
rnacentral:lncRNA from 1 species